UGAGGAAUAUUGGGCAAUGCCCGCAAGGGUGACCCAGCAACGCCGCGUGGAGGAUGAAUGUCGUAAGAUUGUAAACUACUGUUAGAGGGGAAGAAUAGUACCGGUUGGACCGGUAUAUGACUGUACCCUCAGAGAAAGCCCCGGCUAACUACGUGCCAGCAGCCGCGGUAAUACGUAGGGGGCAAGCGUUGUCCGGAUUUACUGGGUGUAAAGGGCGCGCAGGCGGGAUAAAAAGUCAGUGGUGAAAUCCUACAGCUUAACUGUAGAACUGCCUGUGAUACUUUUAUUCUUGAGUUCGGGAGAGAGAGACGGAAUUCCAGGUGUAGUGGUGAAAUACGUAGAUAUCUGGAAGAACACCAGUUGCGAAGGCGGUCUCUUGGUCCGACACUGACGCUGAGGCGCGAAAGCGUGGGGAGCAAACA
rnacentral:rRNA from 1 species